GACGAACGCUGGCGGCGUGCUUAACACAUGCAAGUCGAACGCUGAAGCCUGGUGCUUGCACCGGGUGGAUGAGUGGCGAACGGGUGAGUAAUACGUGAGUGACCUGCCUUUGACUCUGGGAUAAGCCUGGGAAACUGGGUCUAAUACCGGAUGCGACUACUGCCCGCAUGGGCUGGUGGUGGAAAGGGUUAUGUACUGGUCUUAGAUGGGCUCACGGCCUAUCAGCUGGUUGGUGGGGUAAUGGCCUACCAAGGCGACGACGGGUAGCCGGCCUGAGAGGGUGACCGGCCACACUGGGACUGAGACACGGCCCAGACUCCUACGGGAGGCAGCAGUGGGGAAUAUUGCACAAUGGGCGCAAGCCUGAUGCAGCGACGCCGCGUGAGGGAUGACGGCCUUCGGGUUGUAAACCUCUUUCAGCAGGGAAGAAGCGGAAGUGACGGUACCUGCAGAAGAAGCGCCGGCUAACUACGUGCCAGCAGCCGCGGUAAUACGUAGGGCGCAAGCGUUGUCCGGAAUUAUUGGGCGUAAAGAGCUCGUAGGCGGCUUGUCGCGUCUGCUGUGAAAGCCCGGGGCUUAACUCCGGGUGUGCAGUGGGUACGGGCAGGCUAGAGUGCAGUAGGGGUAACUGGGAAUUCCUGGUGUAACGGUGAAAUGCGCAGAUAUCAGGAGGAACACCGAUGGCGAAGGCAGGUUACUGGGCUGUUACUGACGCUGAGGAGCGAAAGCAUGGGGAGCGAACAGGAUUAGAUACCCUGGUAGUCCAUGCCGUAAACGUGGGGCACUAGGUGUGGGGGACAUUCCACGUUUUCCGCGCCGUAGCUAACGCAUUAAGUGCCCCGCCUGGGGAGUACGGCCGCAAGGCUAAAACUCAAAGGAAUUGACGGGGGCCCGCACAAGCGGCGGAGCAUGCGGAUUAAUUCGAUGCAACGCGGAGAACCUUACCAAGGCUUGACAUACACCGGAUCGUUCCAGAGAUGGUUCUUCCCUUUUGGGCUGGUGUACAGGUGGUGCAUGGUUGUCGUCAGCUCGUGUCGUGAGAUGUUGGGUUAAGUCCCGCAACGAGCGCAACCCUCGUUCUAUGUUGCCAGCACGUGAUGGUGGGGACUCAUAGGAGACUGCCGGGGUCAACUCGGAGGAAGGUGGGGAUGACGUCAAAUCAUCAUGCCCCUUAUGUCUUGGGCUUCACGCAUGCUACAAUGGCCGGUACAAUGGGUUGCGAUACUGUGAGGUGGAGCUAAUCCCAAAAAGCCGAUCUCAGUUCGGAUUGGGGUCUGCAACUCGACCCCAUGAAGUCGGAGUCGCUAGUAAUCGCAGAUCAGCAACGCUGCGGUGAAUACGUUCCCGGGCCU
rnacentral:rRNA from 1 species